rnacentral:ncRNA from 1 species
UCUGACUGUCUAAUUAAAACAUAGCAUUGCGAUGGCCAGAAAGUGGUGUUGACGCAAUGUGAUUUCUGCCCAGUGCUCUGAAUGUCAAAGCGAUGCAAUUCGACCAAGCGCGGGUAAACGGCGGGAGUAACUAUGACUCAACCACCUUGAGAGGGUCACGAGAGGGACGUCAAAGUCGAGCCCUAGUGGCGGCGGCCUCCGGGCGGCCGCUGCGACACUGUCAAAUUGCGGGGAGUUCCUAAAGCACCGGCUACCCCCGCCUCCCCGAAAGGGCGAGGCGCGCACCAGGGUAAUGACCUCGGGCAUGGUAACAACGCCGGUGAUGUGACAAUGGAUAAUCCGCAGCCAAGCGCUACCGCCCCUCGGGGCCAGGCGUGCUGUCCAACGACUAGAUGGCAGUGGGUCCGCCCUCCCGGGCGGGCUUAAGAUAUAGUCUGCUCCCCGGCCCAACGGUCGGGGGCGCGGUCCCCCGCACGUCUGGGGGGGCCGGGGCUCUUAAUGUAGCCAAAUGCCUCGUCA